UUGGAUUAGACUCGAGCAGGCUGCUGCUGGUUCUCCCCUUGGGGGGGGACAUGUGCACGCUUGCUGUUCCUUUUAUUUCUCCUGCUGUGCACAAAUUGUAGACCUCUCUCUGGUCUAUGUUGUUUUUCACAACCUCUACUGAAUGUAAUAGAAUGGUGUAAUAUGCAUA
rnacentral:misc_RNA from 1 species